CCACCAGGGCGUGAANCNUGCGGCUUAAUUUGACUCACCACGGNAAAAACUUACCAGGUCCAGACAUAGUAAGGAUUGACAGAUUGAGAGCUCUUUCUUGAUUCUAUGGGUGGUGGUGCAUGNCCGUUCUUAGUUGGUGGGUUGCCUUGUCAGGUUGAUUCCGGUAACGAACGAGACCUCAACCUGCUAAAUAGUCACGAUCGAUUUUUUCGGUUGGCCGACUUCUUAGAGGGACUGUUGGCGACUAGCCAAUGGAAGUUUGAGGCAAUAACAGGUCUGUGAUGCCCUUAGAUGUUCUGGGCCGCACGCGCGUUACACUGAUGCAUUCAACGAGCCUAUCCUUGACCGAGAGGUCCGGGUAAUCUGCGAAACUGCAUCGUGAUGGGGAUAGAUUAUUGCAAUUAUUAAUCUUCAACGAGGAAUGCCUAGUAAGCGCAAGUCAUCAGCUUGCGUUGAUUACGUCCCUGCCCUUUGUACACACCGCCCGUCGCCCCUACCGAUUGGAUGUGCUGGUGAAGCGUCCGGAUUGGUGACAGGCGACGGUUCGCCGCUGCUUGUUGCCGAGAAGUUCGUUAAACCCUCCCAUCUAGAGGAAGGAGAAGUCGUAACAAGGUA
rnacentral:rRNA from 1 species